rnacentral:lncRNA from 1 species
UUAUCACAUCUUUUUCUUCCCCCACCCCACAAACGUGAAGAAGAAGAAGAAGAACAAGAAGAAGAUGGUCUAAUUUCAGAAUUAAAAUAUCUACCUUCAAGAUUUCAAGAAAUACUAAUUCCAGAUUCAGUUGCAGAAGACGAUGGUGGUUGCAGAUCAAAGCGUGAUUCAGUUGCAGAAGACGAUGGUGGUUGCGGAUCUGGUGGUUGGUGGAAGGUGGUGACUGGUUCAUUCUGGGGUGUUGGUGGUUGAUAGCGGCGACAGUGGGUGGUUGUAGAAGGUGGUGGAGGGUGGGUGGUUGGUGGCGCCGGAGUUCGGAACGUCGUCGGAGUCAAGAUCUAGUAAUGGUUAAUGAUGAGAUUUUGAACGGGAUUUUUUGUUGGUUUGGUUGCUUGUUUGGGGAUUUUGAUCUUAAUAAUAAUUGUUUUUUGUUUUGUUGGUUUGGGCUUUUGAUCUGAACAGUAAGUGUUUUUUUUUUUUUUUUUUGUUGGGUUGUUUGAGUUACAAAAACAGAUCCAUAACAUGUGUUAAGCACCUGUUAGAAUGAUAUAUAACGUGUGUUGAUUUACAGAAACAGAUCCACAAAGAUAUUCAAUUGACAAGCUGGAUGGAUGUAGGCGACGUUAAUGCGGGGACAUUGAAUAAGUCAACUAUUUUGGGAAAGAAGUUUUCGUUCGUUUAUAACAUGUGUUAGUGGUUCAUGCUGUAACAGAUCCAUAAAGAAGUUUUCAUGCUGUAACGAGUUUCCGUUCAUUUCUAACAUGUUUUGCACAUUUUGGAAUGUAUAACAUGUGUUAAGCCUCUGUUAUAAUCUUUUUGUAACCUGACAUGUAUUCAUGUAUAAGCUAGUAGUUUACAAAACACCAUGAUGU